rnacentral:rRNA from 1 species
AACGAACGCUGGCGGCGUGCCUAACACAUGCAAGUCGAACGUGAUUGGAAGCUUGCUUCCAUGAAAGUGGCGCACGGGUGAGUAACGCGUAGAUAAUCUACCUGAUGGAUCGGGAUAACACUUCGAGAGGGGUGCUAAUACCGGAUAAGCCCACGGAGUCCUUGGACACUGCGGGAAAAGGGGGGGACCUUCGGGCCUUCCGUCAUCAGAUGAGUCUGCGUACCAUUAGCUAGUUGGUGGGGUAAAGGCCUACCAAGGCGACGAUGGUUAGCUGGUCUGAGAGGAGGAUCAGCCACACUAGAACUGAGACACGGUCCAGACUCCUACGGGAGGCAGCAGUGGGGAAUUUUGCGCAAUGGGCGAAAGCCUGACGCAGCGACGCCGCGUGAGUGAUGAAGGCCUUCGGGUCGUAAAGCUCUGUGGGAAGGGAACGAAAAGAAUCGGGGAACAAUACCUCCGGUUCGUGACGGUACCCAUCCAGAAAGCACCGGCUAACUCCGUGCCAGCCGCCGCAGUAACAC